rnacentral:lncRNA from 1 species
GAGAGCCAAUAUAACAACUUAUUCCUAUGAAAAAAGAUGCUCUGAUAUAAACUCAAAACAGCACUGCUCUGUCACCCUGCCCAGUUGUCUGGUUGCUUUAAAUGAGCACCAUCAUAUGGGAUUGGGACAGGAGAAUAAAAGUAGUGCAAAGGAGUGAAUCAGCAAAGAUAGGAUGAGGAUAGACAUUUAGACCAAUGGAAGUUGGAUUGCUACCUUCCACCAUAUACAAAAAUUAACUCAAAAUGAAUCAAUAAUCUAAACAUAAGACAUAAAACUCUUAGAAGAAAACAUAUGGGUCAUCCUCAAGACCGUGAACUUGGUCAUGGAUUCUUAUAUAUGACAACAAAAGAAUAAGUGACAAAAGGAAAAACAUAGAUAAAUUAGACUUCAUCUAAAUUAAAUUUUUGUGCAUCAAAGGACACUAUCAAAAAAAAGUGAAAAGACAACCUACAGAAUGAAAGAAAAUAUUUGGAAAUCAUGCACCUGAGAAGGGUUUAAUAUCCAGAAUAUAUAAAGAACUCCCACAACUCAACAAAAAAGACAAGCAAUUCAAUUAAAAAAAUAGGCAAAAGACUUGAAUAGACAUUUCUCCAAAGAAGAUAUACAAAUGGCCAAUAAGCACAUGAAAAGAUGCUCAUCACCACUAAUCAUUAGGAAAAUGCAAAUUAAAAUCACAAUGAGAUAAUACUUCACACCUACUAGGAAGGCUGUAAUUUAAAAAAAAAAAACAAACAGAAAAUAAGUGUUGGCAAGAAUGUGGAGAUUGGAACCCUUCUAUAUUGCUGGUGGAAAUGUAUAAUAGUGCAGUUGCUGUAGAAAACAGUUUGGUGGUUCCUCAAAAGCUUAUCAUAGAAUUAUGACAUGAUCCAGCAAUUUCACUCCUGGGUAUAAACUCAAAAGAAGAGAAAACAGGACUCAAACAGAUACUUGUAUUCAAAUGUUCAUUGCAGCAUUAUUCACAGUAGCCAAAAGAUGGAAACAACUCAAGCGCCCAUCAACUGAUGAACAGAUAAACAAAAUGUGAUAUAUCCAUACAAUGGAAUAUGAUUCAGCCAUAAAAAGGAAUGAAGUUCUGACACAUGCUACAAUACAAUGAAUGUGAAAUAAGCCAGACACAAAAGGACAAAUACUGUAUGAUUCCACUUUAAAGAAAUAUCUAGAAUAAGUAAAUCCACAGAGACAGGAAGUAGAUGAUAGGUUACUGGGGGUGGGAGGGUUAUGCCUAAGAAGCAGAGUAUCUUCUCGGGCAAAAAAAUUCUAAAAUUGAUUGUGGUGAUUAUACUAAAAGCCACUGAAUUAUACACUUUAGAUGGGUGAAUUUUAUGGUAUGUGAACUAUAUCUCAAUAAAGCAGGUAAGAGGGGGGAAAAAAAAGACCUGGAAUGCACUGAUUGAGGAAGGAAAGAUCUGUAUGUGUACAAGCUUUACUCUAAAGAGAAAGUAGUUGUCAUCAAAAGAAGGAUUCACCUUCUGUUUGCAGUCGGCCAGUUCAUAAGAUAGUAACUUUUUUAGCUAGUUAGUUAUUCUUCUGGUCUCUCACUUAGCUAUUGGAAUUUUUUGCUUUCAUAAUUUGAAACCUUUAAACAGGAA